rnacentral:rRNA from 1 species
UACAGAGGGGGUAAGCGUUGUUCGGAAUUACUGGGCGUAAAGGGCGCGUAGGCGGCCUACUAAGUCGAACGUGAAAUCCCCGGGCUUAACCCGGGAACUGCGUCCGAUACUGGUUGGGCUUGAAUCCGGGAGAGGGAUGUGGAAUUCCAGGUGUAGCGGUGAAAUGCGUAGAUAUCUGGAGGAACACCGGUGGCGAAGGCGGCAUCCUGGACCGGUAUUGACGCUGAGGCGCGAAAGCCAGGGGAGCAAACGGG